rnacentral:rRNA from 1 species
UGCAGCAACGCCGCGUGAGGGAUGACGGCCUUUCGGGUUGUAAACCUCUUUUAGUAGGGAAGAAGCGAAAGUGACGGUACCUGCAGAAAAAGCACCGGCUAACUACGUGCCAGCAGCCGCGGUAAUACGUAGGGUGCAAGCGUUGUCCGGAAUUAUUGGGCGUAAAGAGCUCGUAGGCGGUUUGUCGCGUCUGCUGUGAAAUCCCGAGGCUCAACCUCGGGCUUGCAGUGGGUACGGGCAGACUAGAGUGCGGUAGGGGAGAUUGGAAUUCCUGGUGUAGCGGUGGAAUGCGCAGAUAUCAGGAGGAACACCGAUGGCGAAGGCAGAUCUCUGGGCCGUAACUGACGCUGAGGAGCGAAAGCAUGGGGAGCGAACAGGAUUAGAUACCCUGGUAGUCCAUGCCGUAAACGUUGGGCGCUAGAUGUAGGGACCUUUCCACGGUUUCUGUGUCGUAGCUAACGCAUUAAGCGCCCCGCCUGGGGAGUACGGCCGCAAGGCUAAAACUCAAAGGAAUUGACGGGGGCCCGCACAAGCGGCGGAGCAUGCGGAUUAAUUCGAUGCAACGCGAAGAACCUUACCAAGGCUUGACAUACACCGGAAACGGCCAGAGAUGGUCGCCCCCUUGUGGU